rnacentral:rRNA from 1 species
GACGAACGCUGGCGGCGUGCCUAAUACAUGCAAGUAGAACGCACAGUUUAUACCGUAGCUUGCUACACCAUAGACUGUGAGUUGCGAACGGGUGAGUAACGCGUAGGUAACCUGCCUGGUAGCGGGGGAUAACUAUUGGAAACGAUAGCUAAUACCGCAUAAUAUUAAUUAUUGCAUGAUAAUUGAUUGAAAGAUGCAACUGCAUCACUACCAGAUGGACCUGCGUUGUAUUAGCUAGUAGGUGAGGUAACGGCUCACCUAGGCGACGAUACAUAGCCGACCUGAGAGGGUGAUCGGCCACACUGGGACUGAGACACGGCCCAGACUCCUACGGCAGGCAGCAGUAGGGAAUCUUCGGCAAUGGACGAAAGUCUGACCGAGCAACGCCGCGUGAGGGAAGAAGGUUUUCGGAUCGUAAAGCUCUGUUGUAAGAGAAGAACGGGUGUGAGAGUGGAAAGUUCACACUGUGACGGUAUCUUACCAGAAAGGGACGGCUAACUACGUG